rnacentral:rRNA from 1 species
CCUACGGGUGGCAGCAGUGAGGAAUAUUGGUCAAUGGACGAGAGUCUGAACCAGCCAAGUAGCGUGAAGGAUGACUGCCCUAUGGGUUGUAAACUUCUUUUAUAUGGGAAUAAAAUGUUCCACGUGUGGGAUUUUGUAUGUACCAUAUGAAUAAGGAUCGGCUAAUUCCGUGCCAGCAGCCGCGGUAAUACGGAGGAUCCGAGCGUUAUCCGGAUUUAUUGGGUUUAAAGGGAGCGUAGGUGGAUUGUUAAGUCAGUUGUGAAAGUUUGCGGCUCAACCGUACAAUUGCAGUUGAAACUGGCAGUCUUGAGUACAGUAGAGGUGGGCGGAAUUCGUGGUGUAGCGGUGAAAUGCUUAGAUAUCACGAAGAACUCCGAUUGCGAAGGCAGUUCACUGGACUGCAACUGACACUGAGGCGCGAAAGUGUGGGUAUCAAACAGGAUUAGAUACCCUUGUAGUC